AGAGCGAACGCUGGCGGCAGGCCUAACACAUGCAAGUCGAGCGCCCCGCAAGGGGAGCGGCAGACGGGAGAGUAACACGUGGGAACGUACCCUUUGGUUCGGAACAACACAGGGAAACCUGUGCUAAUACCGGAUAAGCCCUUACGGGGAAAGAUUUAUUGCCAAAGGAUCGGCCCGCGUCUGAUUAGCUUGUUGGUGAGGUAACGGCUCACCAAGGCUACGAUCAGUAGCUGGUCUGAGAGGAUGAUCAGCCUCACUGGGACUGAGACACGGCCCAGACUCCUACGGGAGGCAGCAGUGGGGAAUAUUGGACAAUGGGCGCAAGCCUGAUCCAGCCAUGCCGCGUGGAUGAUGAAGGCCCUAGGGUUGUAAAGUCCUUUCGACGGGGAAGAUAAUGACGGUACCCGUAGAAGAAGCCCCGGCUAACUUCGUGCCAGCAGCCGC
rnacentral:rRNA from 1 species